rfam:Ovis aries breed Texel chromosome 1, whole genome shotgun sequence.
UCCCUGGUGGCUCAGAGGUUAAAGCGUCUGCCUCCAACGCCGGAAACCUGGGUUUGAUUCCUGGGUCGGGAA